GACUUAGUAGCUCAGUGGUAGGGCUCCAGCAUCACAUACGGGGAGACGCGGGUUCGAUUCCCGGCUGCGUCC
rnacentral:tRNA from 1 species